UAUUUUUUUUUCUCUUUCUCUCUUUCUGAAGCAGUAACGGCGUCUCCUUCCUUCUUCUUCUCUUCUUCUUGUCUCUCAUUCUAGGUUAACUCUUUCCCCCUCAUUCUUCUUCUCCCUCUCUUCUAUUCUCUGUUGCUAAAUUGGUUCAGGAGUGAUUACAAAUUUCCAGAUCUGGAACACUCUUUCUUCUUCCUUUAAUCAACAAGGUAAGUUGAUAUAUUAAAACUUUCUCCAUUGAAAUAGAUUUUUAUUGUUCUUUAUAUAUGUAAAUUGAGAAUUCAAAAUUGCUUCUUCAAAUAGAUGGGGUUUUUAUUUUUGGGAUUUUGUGAGCAAGAAAACUUGUUAUUAAUUUCAAUAAAAAUACGAUUUUGAUAUUUUUCCAUGGAUGUUGAAAGCUAAAAUAAAGCUUGGUAUGACUGAUUUUAAUAUUUUUGGUGGGUUGUUGUUAUUUUGCACAAAUUGUUCAAUAUAUCCGUCAUCCUUGUGUCCAGUUGUUGUAGUUACUUAUUUGUUUACAAUACAAAUUGUAGGAACAAGCUAUGAAGGCUUUGGCGUAUUUUCUCGGCACCAAAAAGGAUAGGGCGUAUUUUCUCGGCAACUGAAUCUGCAAGUAUCAAACUCUAUUCGCCAUAGUUUGCAGGUAACAAUGUUUCUAUGGUACUAAAUUUUAUUACAAUGUCAGGUUUGUCGCAUGUACACCCAAGACCCUACACAAACUGUCGACUGGCAGACUGACGAGCUUGCGCACCUUAGUGCACAGUACCCACAACCAGCUUGUGUACCCAAUAGAUUGCAAUUCCUCCAACUACACGGCAUUUUAUACAAGUUUAUAGUUGAUCAAUGAACUUUUGUUUGUUCUAUGUUGUGUGUUCAACAUAGAAACAGAUUGUAGUACACUUAAAAUGACUUUCCUGUUAUUAUAUUUCUGAGAGUCAAAUGACAGGUUAUUGAGACUUGAAACCUCUGGUCAUGUUAAUAACCUGUUAAAACCUUAGUUAGAAACACAGACAUUGAAUGUUAUGUAAGAUGAGGAAGACAUAUACUGCGGCAGAAAAAGCAUAUUUGAAAAGGCUGUAGUUUCUUCAAUGUUUUUUCUAGUAUCAAUGAAUCUCUCUGGAUAGAACUCUUCCGCAUUACUAGACCAUACAUUAGGGUCUCUUCCAAUUGCCCAAGCAUUUAUAAUCACUCUAGAUUUCUUUGGAAUAAAAUAUCCAUUGAUUGUUACAUCUUCUGUGGACUCAUGAGGAAUGAGCAAUGGUGCAACUGGAUGAAUCCUCAUGGUUUCCAUGAUCACCAUUUUCAAGUAGCUCAACUUAGUCAAAUCUGUUUCGUCAACCAUCCUGUCCAAUCCAACUAUGUUUUCUAGUUCUUCUUGAACUAGUUUCAUUACAUGAGGAUGUUUUAGAAGUUCUGCAAUGACCCAUUCUAUUGCUGUACUUGAAGUGUCCAUUGCUGCUGCAAGCAUGUCUAUCAUGAUUGCCUUAAUAUUGUCUCGAUCUAGGUACAAUUCUCGUGUGUUUCUUGAUCAUAUGUUUUUAAUGAAAACUCAGUUUCCAAGACGACAUUUUCAAAUCCAUCCUUACAAAAAAAUAUCGGGAAAUCGUUGGUAAUGUGCUUCGUUUCUAGUUAAUUUUUGUUUGAUUUUAUAUUGUUUGGUUUGCCCAUUUAUUUUAUUGUAAUGGUCCUGUUUGGUUGUGAAUUUAGAUAUAAAUGUAGGGAAUAACUAUGAAAAGACAAAGAAAAUUUGUGUAUAACCCCCUGUGAAUUGAAAGUGAGAAUGGAUAGAAGUGGUGCUUUUAGUGUACACAAGAAGCACCCAAUUAAUAUUGAUUUCUACGCUUUCAUUUAAUUGCUUUGAGAUAAGAGCUUAUCAUCAAAGCAAGAGAUCAAAUAGGCAAAUACUAAUACUUCUGCAAAAACAGAAUUUUGAUCUCUCCACAAAAAGUACAAGUCAACAGACCUCAGAUAAACAAAUGCCAUAAUCCCCUUAACUCCAAAUGUAGAGAGGAGCUUUUCAAAAGAUGGUGAGUAAUACCUGAUUGCCUGUAAAUGUCUAAUUUGCAAGGUGCUUGCGGAAAUGAAAAGAUCAUGAUUUAAACAAAUCCCUUUAAGGUUUCGUUCUGAAAAUCAUAGGUUUUAGAAAAAAAAACUAAUUGACAUGUAAGGCUAUUGAUCAAGUAUAUAGUAGAAACAACUCCCUGUGGCAACAAAUUUAUGAUGAAAGUUAUUCAAGUAUUACAAAGGUUUUCUGCAGCUACUGGAGGGGGGAAUUAUUACAUACUUUAAUGUUCCACAUUCAAAUAUCCUGGUCUAAUUCAAAAUGCAACAGAUGUUUAAAAUGAGAUAGAAGGUAGAGGACGUUAGUCUUUGAGGUGCCUAGAAACUCGGUGUUGUUAUGUGAACCUCUUGCUUGACUUGUGAUGCUUCAGAAAUAAAUAUGCAUUUUGGCACUAGAACUUUUUCAAAAGAUGGAUGAAUUCAUUAUGCUACGUAUGGACUCUAUUCCAUGUCUAUCAUUAUGCCUAUCAUCGUAUAUAUAUAUAUAUAACUAGGCUUCAUGGCAUUGUCCUACAAACCACCAACCAACAAUUUCUAUGAUCAUUGAUAUUUUUACCUGUAUAAUUAAUAGGAGAAUCCUACCUAAUACCACAUGCUAGAUGUUCUGGCAAAGAGUAAACCAAACACAAGCAAUUUCCAGACAAAGCUAAUCGGCAAAAAUUACUUUGAAGUGCAAUACAGAACAAAAUUCUUCUCUCUUAUGAGCUCAAAAUUCUUAAAAUUUGCUAGCUUAGUAAUCGAAAUUAAAUCAUAAAAUCCUGGGCUACACUUUGUGAAGGCAGAACGGCUGCAAUUCAAAAACCUUAUAGUUGAUUAGAAAAUAAAAGAAAUGAGAGGGGGUUUGAAGCUCAUAUAUAGGACUUUGUCUAUAUGAGAAAGGUGGUUGAAUGAACUACUCCCUUGGCUCUCUCUCUAAGAAAUCAGAAUCAUCCUGUUACUUAUCUUCUUGUUUCCUAAAUUUACCAUUUCUAAAAUACCCAAACUCUCCUAAUGUGUCUUAACAUCAUCUCACCAUAGUAGGUUAAGAGUUUCAAGUGAUAUACCAGUAUUUGAAGUUGUUAUGUCGCAACACUCCCAAAACCUACUGUUUUCAUAUCUAUAAUUAUCAACCCCUUUCAAUGCUACUAUAACAAAAGUCCUGAAAUCCCUAAUUUUACAGAGCAAAUCCUUAAUAUUGUGAAACACAUACUUUAAUCAAUGAGUUGAACAAAUAGAUUACGAAUUCAGAAAAGAAAAAACCCUAAAUUUAGGGUUAAACAAAUACUUUAAUCUGCUACUUGCUUACCCACUGAGACUUGUGAGGUGUUCAAAGUUUGUCUGUUUAGGGGUAUUUGGAGUAUAAACAGAUUCACAGAAACCACCUUCUUCUUCUUCUUCUUUCUUAUUCUCUGUUACCACUUUCCAAUUUCACGAAACAUUUGAUUUGAAGUAAUAAAAUUAUCUUAAGGUGAUUUUGUCAAUACACCCCCUUUUUUUUUUUUUUUCCACGUUUGGCCAAUACACCUGUAAGAGCAUUCCCAAUGGUAAAAGAGUUUUAGGGGUGCCACAUAAGAGAGAGAGGGAAUGUUUUAGCAUAAAAUUAAUGUUGAAAGUGAUUAGUGGUUUUAGAGUUUCCAAUGGUUGGUUUUAAAAUAAGUAUUAAAACUUAAUAUUUUGUUUUUCCCAAAAAAACUUAAUAUUUUAUUUUAUAAAAUCAACGCUCAUCAUUAGAUCUGAAUUUUUUUUGCAGAUUGACGGUUUAGAUUUAGUUAGGGGUAAUUUCAUUAUUUCAACUUUUUAGGGGUAGUUAAGUCACUUCAGGGAUUUGACAGGUCAACAUUGGUUGACUGUUUUAACUGGGUCAAUCUGUUAAAUGGGGGGAACCUAAUUUUCAGACUUACAGGGUGUAUUGGCCAAACGUGAAAAAAAAAAAAAAAAAAAAGGGGGUGUAUUGACAAAAUCACCUUAAGAUAAUUUUAUUACUUCAAAUCAAAUGUUUCGUGAAAUUGGAAAGUGGUAACAGAGAAUAAGAAAGAAGAAGAAGAAGAAGAAGAAGGUGGUUUCUGUGAAUCUGUUUAUACUCCAAAUACCCCUAAACAGACAAACUUUGAACACCUCACAAGUCUCAGUGGGUAAGCAAGUAGCAGAUUAAAGUAUUUGUUUAACCCUAAAUUUAGGGUUUUUUCUUUUCUGAAUUCGUAAUCUAUUUGUUCAAUUCAUUGAUUAAAGUAUGUGUUUUCACAAUAUUAAGGAUUUGCUCUGUAAAAUUAGGGAUUUCAGGACUUUUGUUAUAGUAGCAUUGAAAGGGGUUGAUAAUUAUAGAUAUGAAAACAGUAGGUUUUGGGAGUGUUGCGACAUAACAACUUCAAAUACUGGUAUAUCACUUGAAACUCUUAACCUACUAUGGUGAGAUGAUGUUAAGACACAUUAGGAGAGUUUGGGUAUUUUAGAAAUGGUAAAUUUAGGAAACAAGAAGAUAAGUAACAGGAUGAUUCUGAUUUCUUAGAGAGAGAGCCAAGGGAGUAGUUCAUUCAACCACCUUUCUCAUAUAGACAAAGUCCUAUAUAUGAGCUUCAAGCCCCCUCUCAUUUCUUUUAUUUUCUAAUCAACUAUAAGGUUUUUGAAUUGCAGCCGUUCUGCCUUCACAAAGUGUAGCCCAGGAUUUUAUGAUUUAAUUUCGAUUACUAAGCUAGCAAAUUUUAAGAAUUUUGAGCUCAUAAGAGAGAAGAAUUUUGUUCUGUAUUGCACUUCAAAGUAAUUUUUGCUGAUUAGCUUUGUCUGGAAAUUGCUUGUGUUUGGUUUACCCUUUGCCAGAACAUCUAGCAUGUGGUAUUAGGUAGGAUUCUCCUAUUAAUUAUACAGGUAAAAAUAUCAAUGAUCAUAGAAAUUGUUGGUUGGUGGUUUGUAGGUCAAAGAAUUCCGUUGACUUAGGUG
rnacentral:lncRNA from 1 species